UAUAUAUUGUAAACGCUAACCAACUAUUUCAAAAACACGUAUUGAUAGAAAGUGCUCACCCAUCGUACUUAAGGGCUCAACUACAACGCUCGCAAGUUUCGACGUGACUUAACGCAACAAGACGUUCAGUCUAUUGUUGGGUCUCUUGACAUUAGAUUUUUUGUGAACCGCACAUCCACUCAACUUAUUAGUCUUUUAAAUUUAUUAUCACGGGACAGGAAGCUGAACCUAUUUUAACCCAAUAAUAAAUAGCCAAUAAUAUAUAUCAUGCACUGUAACUAAAUUUUAAGUUCGAAGUCUAGUAGUUGUUUCAUAUUUACUACUAAAUUGUGAAACAGUAAGGCGUUAGCUACUAUUCUUUUUCAAAAAAAAAGAAAGUAAAACUAAAAAGAUUUAUUAUUAUUAUUAUUAUAGAUUUAUGAAAGUAUUUGAUGUUUGUUUGUUGGAUUUUAAAUGUGAUGUGUGAAAUGUACGGAUACAUCGGGUG
rnacentral:lncRNA from 1 species